rnacentral:rRNA from 1 species
UACGUAGGGGGCAAGCGUUGUCCGGAUUUAUUGGGCGUAAAGAGCGUGUAGGCGGCUUUACAGGUCCGUUGUGAAAACUCGAGGCUCAACCUCGAGACGCCGGUGGAAACCGUAAGGCUAGAGUCCGGAAGAGGAGAGUGGAAUUCCUGGUGUAGCGGUGAAAUGCGCAGAUAUCAGGAGGAACACCCGUGGCGAAAGCGGCUCUCUGGGACGGUACUGACGCUGAGGAGCGAAAGCAUGGGGAGCGAACAGG